GUGAUAGGGGAUCCAGAGAAAGUGAGUAUAGAACUUCAAUAAUAUGCAUGAAAUGUAGUUAAAUCAUGAGUUUUAUCCAUGUUUGGAUGAGCCAAUGUAAUGAAGUGGGGAAAGUAAAAUAAGCUGACAAGUUGUCCAUCUAUGGAUUAGAUGUGCUUAUGAAGGGAAGGGGGAAUUGGGAGAAUGGAACAUAUGUUUUCAACAUUUAUGUACAUUAUGAUACUGUAUAAUGCAUCAUGAUGUUAUCCUUGCAGCUUUCUACUAUUCUGUGUUUAAUAUGGUCAACUUUUGAAUACUUCUAUCCUGUAAAAACUUCUGUUCUCUUAAUUUUGGAUUUAUUGUCAUAGAUGGG
rnacentral:misc_RNA from 1 species